GCCUGGGUGGCUCAGUCGGUUAAGCAUCUGACUCUUGGUUUCCACUCAGGUCAUGAUCCCACAGUUCGUGGGUUUGAGCCCCACAUCAGGCC
rnacentral:tRNA from 1 species